AGUGGGAUAACUGGGUCAAAUGGUGGUCCCAUUUCCAGUUUUCCAAGGAAUCUCCAUACUGUUUUCCAUAUUGGCUGCACCAAUUUGCAUUCCCACCAGCAAU
rnacentral:pre_miRNA from 1 species